GCACAGAUAGCUUGCUCUCGGGUGACGAGUAGGCGGACGGGUGAGUAAUGUCUGGGAAACUGCCUGAUGGAGGGGGAUAACUACUGGAAACGGUAGCUAAUACCGCAUAAUGUCGCAAGACCAAAGAGGGGGACCUUCGGGCCUCUUGCCAUCAGAUGUGCCCAGAUGGGAUUAGCUAGUAGGUGGGGUAACGGCUCACCUAGGCGACGAUCCCUAGCUGGUCUGAGAGGAUGACCAGCCACACUGGAACUGAGACACGGUCCAGACUCCUACGGGAGGCAGCAGUGGGGAAUAUUGCACAAUGGGCGCAAGCCUGAUGCAGCCAUGCCGCGUGUAUGAAGAAGGCCUUCGUGGUUGUAAAGUACUUUCAGCGGGGAGGAAGGUGUUG
rnacentral:rRNA from 1 species